ACGCACCACCACAGGGCCGCUCUGUCCACCGGCAACAGUAGAGAGUCUCAGGCCGUCAGGGCUGUUCUUGCAAAUAACAUUGCCUUAGGUAAAGUGGUGAAAAUGUUGAAGCAAGCCAUGAUGAUCGCCCACCCAUUUCAUUUGUUUCCCAGAUUAUGAGAAACAAAGCAGGUUUGUAUUAUCUACUUGAUGACUAUCUAAUGCUGCAACUGUUUUGCCUAAUGCAUAUGUGUGCAUUUGUUACAGGAAUACGGAGAAGUCCCCCAAAAGAAAGAAGCAAACUUUCAUGGGAUAGAAGAACGAUGAAAUACUACAGUUGCGGCUUUCUGGGAUUGAUCAAGUUAAUGUGUGAAAGAGGGGUCAUUCCUAGCAAAGAGAUGCUUGAGCUGAAGGAUUAUGUCUUAAACCGUGGCUACUUUGACAUUCAAUCCAUUGAAUACUUAGAGAUCCUUGAUGCCGUGAAAAUGAACCCCCCUGUUGUUGGCUAGAAUAGAUUGUUAGGUGGUGCCAUGAAAGUAUAAUGAUACUUGAUUAGUUUCUUAACAAACUGAAGAUUUGUGUGUGUCAAAGGUAGCCUUCUUUAAUCUAAAAAUAAAAAUAUUUUAAGCAUAAAGUCUAAAAGGGAGCUUGCAUGGC
ensembl:lncRNA